GAUGAACGCUGGCGGCGUGCCUAAUACAUGCAAGUCGAGCGAACGGACGAGAAGCUUGCGUCUCUGAUGUUAGCGGCGGACGGGUGAGUAACACGUGGAUAACCUACCUAUAAGACUGGGAUAACUUCGGGAAACCGGAGCUAAUACCGGAUAAUAUUUUGAACCGCAUGGUUCAAAGGUGAAAGACGGUCUUGCUGUCACUUAUAGAUGGAUCCGCGCUGCAUUAGCUAGUUGGGAAGGUAACGGCUUACCAAGGCAACGAUGCAUAGCCGAACUGAGAGGGUGAUCGCCCACCUUGGAAGGGAGACGGGGUCAAGACUCCUGAGGGAGGGAGCAGAAGGGAACCUGACGCAAUGGGCGAAAGCCUGACGGAGCAACGCCGAGUGAGUGAUGAAGGCCUUCGGAUCGUAAAACUCUGUUAUUAGGGAAGAACAUAUGUGUACGUAACUGUGCACAUCUUGACGGUACCUAAUCAGAAAGCAACGGCUAACUACGUG
rnacentral:rRNA from 1 species